rnacentral:lncRNA from 1 species
CACCAUCGCAUAUGUAGACUGUAGUGAGGAGGAUUGAUAAAUAUUGUGUGUGUGUAUUUAAUCAGAGUAGGCAUAGGCAGCAAGCAAGCUAGCUAGUGAGCAAGGAUUUCGACAAAUUUCACAUCCCUAAUACUCAGUGCUGAAAUAACAAGUUAUAUUCGAGAGCGAGGAGAAUUAUAUCAAUUCGUCUCCAUGCUUAACUUAUCUCAGUAAUAGAGCAUGGAACUCAGAAGUACAUCAUCAUUCAUAAUAAUGAGAAAACUCCACCUCCAGUUCUCCUCUACUGUCCGCUCUCCUUAUCUAUCAUGAACCGGAGGAGUUGCGUGGCGAAGUUAGUUAAUAAUGUGAAUCGUGCUUGUAGCAGGAGUAGACACACAUACUCAAGUCAUCAUAGUUACUACGGCCCAGAAGAAGAAGAAGAAUUUGACGCUUUUCACCCAAAGCAUGUACACACAACACUAUUUCAUUUAAAAAUGCGUCCAGAGGCAGCAUGGGGGAUUACGUAAUCCACUCUUUGACGUCAACAUUAUCCAUGUAAAAUAGAUACAUCGUUUUUAAAUGAUAACCCCGAUAUUUUUUUCUUCUUUUUUCAUACUCUACAUCCAUAAUUAUGCCUACUCACUAUUCAGUAACCCUGUUUUAGGGCCCCUUAUGUACAUAUGAAGUGGGAAGGAAGCGUGUUCAUUUCCCUUUCUCUUUAUAUCACUCUCUCUUUAUCUCUCACUCUCUUUGUAUGUUUUAUAGUAAUUUGUAAAUAUGUAUUCGUCAAUCCGUUUGACAAAUUAAAUUUAUAUUUAUGAAAACAAGCUAUCGGGAUUUUCUGUAUGUCAAAUUUGAUAAUACAUUUUAGUUUUGUAGUGAAAGUAUGGGUGUAAGUCCGGAGGAAACACUUUACUUUCCCCCUCUUUUUUCUUCCUUCGAGGCUACUUUAUUUCAAAAUAUAAAAUGUCCGUGAAAAAAAAUAAUUUUGGCAAGUGUAGAUGGAAUUAACCUAAUUUUGUCUUAUAUAUUAUGUCAAUAUAACUCUAACAUUACAAA